rnacentral:piRNA from 1 species
GGGUGGAAUUUAUGGCCCUAGAUAUGAAGC